rnacentral:rRNA from 1 species
AAAGCCGGAUUAAUACCGCAUCCGCUCUGUGGAGGAAAGCGGGGGAUCUUCGGACCUCGCGCUCAAGGGGCGGCCGAUGGCAGAUUAGCUAGUUGGUGGGGUAAAGGCCUACCAAGGCGACGAUCUGUAGCUGGUCUGAGAGGACGACCAGCCACACUGGGACUGAGACACGGCCCAUACUCCUACGGGAGGCAGCAGUGGGGAAUUUUGGACAAUGGGGGCAACCCUGAUCCAGCAAUGCCGCGUGUGUGAAGAAGGCCUUCGGGUUGUAAAGCACUUUUGUCCGGAAAGAAAACCUCUGGGUUAAUACCCUGGGGGGAUGACGGUACCGGAAGAAUAAGCACCGGCUAACUACGUGCCAGCAGCCGCGGUAAUACGUAGGGUGCGAGCGUUAAUCGGAAUUACUGGGCGUAAAGCGUGCGCAGGCGGUUCGCU